GGAUAGCUCAGUUGGUUAGAGCAUGGUACUGAUGAUGCCGAGGUUAGAGGUUCGAUCCCUGUAUGGGGGCAGCU